UGGCUCAGAUGGUAAAGAAUCUGCCUGCAAUGCAGGAGACCCAGGUUUGAUUCCUGG
rfam:Ovis aries breed Texel chromosome 2, whole genome shotgun sequence.